UACGUAGGGUGCAAGCGUUAAUCGGAAUUACUGGGCGUAAAGCGUGCGCAGGCGGUUAUGUAAGACAGAUGUGAAAUGCCCGGGCUUAACCUGGGAACUGCAUUUGUGACUGCAUGGCUAGAGUUUGGCAGAGGGGGGUAGAAUUCCACGUGUAGCAGUGAAAUGCGUAGAUAUGUGGAGGAACACCGAUGGCGAAGGCAGCCCCCUGG
rnacentral:rRNA from 1 species